AACGAACGCUGGCGGCAUGCCUAACACAUGCAAGUCGAACGAGACCUUCGGGUCUAGUGGCGCACGGGUGCGUAACGCGUGGGAACCUGCUCUUAGGUUCGGAAUAACUCCCCGAAAGGGGUGCUAAUACCGGAUAAUGUCUUCGGACCAAAGAUUUAUCGCCUUUGGAUGGGCCCGCGUUGGAUUAGCUAGUUGGUAGGGUAAAAGCCUACCAAGGCGACGAUCCAUAGCUGGUCUGAGAGGAUGAUCAGCCACACUGGGACUGAGACACGGCCCAGACUCCUACGGGAGGCAGCAGUGGGGAAUAUUGGACAAUGGGCGAAAGCCUGAUCCAGCAAUGCCGCGUGAGUGAUGAAGGCCUUAGGGUUGUAAAGCUCUUUUACCCGGGAUGAUAAUGACAGUACCGGGAGAAUAAGCUCCGGCUAACUCCGU
rnacentral:rRNA from 1 species